rnacentral:lncRNA from 1 species
CGACUCCACGGACGCGACUUCUCUUAACCUCCUAUGAAUCUCGCGCAAUCCUCCGGAUUGUCCACGCCCUCAUGCUCGAAUCCACGAACACCACGCACACGUUCGAAUCCAUGAAAGCCACUUGAAUCUACGAGCUCUCGAUCCGAAUCCUCGAACCGCCUUCAAUCAUGCCAAAUCCAUGAAGCCGUCCAUGAAGAAUAUCAUGAUUAUGGUGAUCC